AUACGUAGGGUGCGAGCGUUAAUCGGAAUUACUGGGUGUAAAGCGCGCGUAGGUGGAUAUUUAAGUCGGAUGUGAAAGCCCUGGGCUCAACCUGGGAACUGCAUUCGAUACUGGGUAUCUAGAGUAUAGUAGAGGGAAGUGGAAUUUCAGGUGUAGCGGUGAAAUGCGUAGAUAUCUGAAAGAACACCAGUGGCGAAGGCGGCUUCCUGGACUAAUACUGACACUGAGGUGCGAAAGCGUGGGGAGCAAACAGGAUUAGAAACCCCGGUAGUCC
rnacentral:rRNA from 1 species